rnacentral:rRNA from 1 species
GACGAACCGUGCGAACGUUGUUCGGAAUCACUGGGCUUAAAGGGCGCGUAGGCGGGCUGUCCAGUCUGGGGUGAAAUCCCGCGGCUCAACCGUGGAACUGCCUUAGAUACUGACGGCCUCGAGGGAGAUAGGGGCAUGCGGAACUGUAGGUGGAGCGGUGAAAUGCGUUGAUAUCGGAAAGAACACCAACGGCGAAAGCAACUCUGCUGGGCCGACACUGACACUGAGAGACGAAAGCUAGGGGAGCGAAUGGG